UUAAAACUCAAAUGAAUNGNCGGGGGCCCGCACNAGCGGUGGAGCAUGUGGUUUACUUCGAUGCAACGCGAAGAACCUUACCUGGUCUUGACAUAUCUAGAAUCCUGCAGAGAUGCGGGAGUGCCUUCGGGAAUUAGAAUACAGGUGCUGCAUGGCUGUCGUCAGCUNGUGUCGUGAGAUGUUGGGUUAAGUCCCGCAACGAGCGCAACCCUUGUCCUUAGUUACCAGCGGGUUAAGCCGGGAACUCUAAGGAUACUGCCAGUGACAAACUGGAGGAAGGCGGGGACGACGUCAAGUCAUCAUGGCCCUUACGACCAGGGCUACACACNUGCUACAAUGGUAGGUACAGAGGGCAGCUACACAGCGAUGUGAUGCGAAUCUCAAAAAGCCUAUCGUAGUCCAGAUUGGAGUNUGCAACUCGACUCCAUGAAGUAGGAAUCGCUAGUAAUCGCGGAUCAGAAUGCCGCGGUGAAUACGUUCCCGGGCCUUGUACACACCGCCCGUCACACCAUGGGAGUUGAUUGCACCAGAAGUGGUUAGCCGAACCUUUUAGGACGGCGAUC
rnacentral:rRNA from 1 species